GAGAAUUAAACCACGGAGACUGUGGAGGCGAAAGCGUUGCCUACUAUGCCGCUGGCAAGUUUUCUCAUAGUAAGCUUUUUAUCUAGAUUUUGAGUACAUAACAUUUUUCUAGAUCAACGAGUCAUGGCCUCUACAAUGUAAGGAACCCAAAAUUUCACAAUUUUUAAUGUAAUAAAUUAUUUUUUUUAUUAAAGAUCCUAGCCCUGGUGGCGUCUUUCAGCUAAGUUGACAUCAUUUUCACGUCACACUGAGUGUCCGGUUCAAUCCUAGGCGCUGGUGGAAACGUUGGGCAUGUCUACACCUGCUGUCUUUCUUCACCUAGCAGUUAGUGCGAGUUUACAGUUCAUCGUGAGAUCGUGGAACCCUAUAUCAGAUGGUGCUUUGAUGCUGAAGGGUUCCUGAUCCAAGAAAUUGAAGACAUUCCCCCCUUCAAACCUAAUAGUCAUCCAUUCCCCAGGCUCUGUACUGCUAUGGGUUUGGCGCUUCACUAUAAAAUAUAUUCCUCUCAUUCCCCCAGCGAUAUAUCACCCGUACGGAUGUAAUGCUUCCCGCAUACAAUUCACCGUAAACUCCAAUAAGUAAUUACAAACAGAUAAUUACACCCACUCGCACAAAAGCCAGACAUACUUCCCUAAACUCUCACUUGAUGAGUGUUAGGGAUAGGUGAGUGGCACGCAGUAGCAGAAACUGCAAUACCAGCUUAAGCAGCAGAGACAGUAGUAGCAACAAUAGUAGUAAAAAUUGCAGCAGCAGCAGGAGAAGCAGCGACAGCAGCAACAACGGUAGCAGGAGGAAAAACUGCAGCAGAAAGAGGAGGAGCAGCAACAGCAGGAGAAACAUCAGGAGGAACGGCAGCAGCAGCAGCAGCAGGAGAAGCAUUAAAAGCAGAAAAAGGAGAAGCAGCAGGAGGAACAGCACCAGGAAAAGCAGAGAGGAGAAGCAGCAGAAGGAACAGCAGAAGCAGAAAGAGGAGGAGGAGCAGCAGUAGCUGCAGUCAGGCGUCAAAAAGUCAUUACUAACAUUGUUCUGUACAUUAAGUAUAAUGACGUAGAGUGGAGGUCACUCCAGUGUCAUCAUCGUCAGUCCUACACCAGUGUGAGUCUUGCUCAACCUUGUCUUCCCCUGCAAAUUAUCUCAUUAUGUUUUUUAGUAUGUUAGUGGUAUUAUAUACCAACAAGUAUAUUUAUAAGACAAAUAAGCGUUUAUGACAAUGGAGAGAACAUUUCGUCCACCUAGUGAGCGAAACGUCUUCUCAAUAAGUUAUAACCCAAAUAAUUUUUAUUUUCCAUUCGUUCUCACCGUUAUGAUUUUUUACUCAUCAUUGAUUUAUUCGUAAGUUUCUUAUAUUCUUGUACUGUUUGUUCAGUACUGUAUUUCUUAUCUAUAUCUAUCCUAUCUUAUCUCUUAUCCUCCCUUUUCUAACCUAAAACUUAAUUUUCUGUUGCUCUAGUUUCGUUUUAUAAGCU